rnacentral:misc_RNA from 1 species
GAUGAAGAACGCAGCGAAAUGCGAUAAGUAAUGUGAAUUGCAGAAUUCAGUGAAUCAUCGAAUCUUUGAACGCACAUUGCGCCCCUUGGUAUUCCGAGGGGCAUGCCUGUUCGAGCGUCAUUACACCACUCAAGCUAUGCUUGGUAUUGGGCGUCGUCCUUAGUUGGGCGCGCCUUAAAGACCUCGGCGAGACCACUCCGGCUUUAGGCGUAGUAGAAUUUAUUCGAACGUCUGUCAAAGGAGAGGAACUCUGCCGACUGAAACCUUUAUUUUUCUAGGUUGACCUCGGAUCAGGUAGGGAUACCCGCUGAACUUAAGCAUAUCAAUAAGCGGAGGA